rnacentral:rRNA from 1 species
UACGUAGGGUGCAAGCGUUGUCCGGAAUUAUUGGGCGUAAAGAGCGUGUAGGCGGCCUGAAAGGUCAGCUGUGAAAACUCGAGGCUCAACCUCGAGACGUCGGUUGAAACCAUCUGGCUAGAGUCCGGAAGAGGAGAGUGGAAUUCCCGGUGUAGCGGUGAAAUGCGCAGAUAUCAGGAGGAACACCGGUGGCGAAGGCGGGUCUCUGGGCAAUAACUGACGCUGGAGGAGCGAAAGCGUGGGGAGCGAACAGG